CAGCAGCCACGGUAAUACGAAGGGGGCGAGCGUUAAUCGGAUUUACUGGGCGUAAAGCGUGCGUAGGCGGCUUUUUAAGUCGGAUGUGAAAUCCCUGAGCUUAACUUAGGAAUUGCAUUCGAUACUGGGAAGCUAGAGUAUGGGAGAGGAUGGUAGAAUUCCAGGUGUAGCGGUGAAAUGCGUAGAGAUCUGGAGGAAUACCGAUGGCGAAGGCAGCCAUCUGGCCUAAUACUGACGCUGAGGUACGAAAGCAUGGGGAGCAAACAGGAUUAGAUACCCCCGUAGUCCCUGUCUCUUAUAC
rnacentral:rRNA from 1 species